rnacentral:rRNA from 1 species
GCUCAACCGAGGAAGUGCUUCGAAAACUGGUAAACUUGAGUGCAGAAGAGGAAAGUGGAACUCCAUGUGUAGCGGUGGAAUGCGUAGAUAUAUGGAAGAACACCAGUGGCGAAGGCGGCUUUCUGGUCUGUAACUGACGCUGAGAUUCGAAAGCAUGGGUAGCAAACAGGAUUAGAUACCCUGGUAGUCCAUGCCGUAAACGAUGAGUGCUAAGUGUUGGAGGGUUUCCGCCCUUCAGUGCUGCAGCUAACGCAUUAAGCACUCCGCCUGGGGAGUACGACCGCAAGGUUGAAACUCAAAGGAAUUGACGGGGGCCCGCACAAGCGGUGGAGCAUGUGGUUUAAUUCGAAGCAACGCGAAGAACCUUACCAGGUCUUGACAUACCAUGAAAAGCUUAGAGAUAAGUCUUUCCCUUCGGGGACAUGGAUACAGGUGGUGCAUGGUUGUCGUCAGCUCGUGUCGUGAGAUGUUGGGUUAAGUCCCGCAA